rnacentral:rRNA from 1 species
AUCAAAAACAUAGCUUAAUGUAUUUUUAUAUUAAGUUAAUUCUGCUCAGUGAUUAAGUUUAAACAGCCGCAGUACACUGACUGUGCUAAGGUAGCAUAAUAAGUUGGCUUAUAAUUGAAGUCUAGUAUGAACGAAAUUUAAUGGGUAGUAACUGUCUCUUUAGUUUUUUACUGAACUUACUCAGAUGGUGAAAAUUCCAUCAUAAUAAAAGAAAGACGAGAAGACCCUUAGAAUUUUUAUUAAGUGUGGAGGUUUCUCACUUUGUAUUAGCUGGGGCGGCUUUGUGUCAACUAAACACACAAUUCAAUUAUAAAACAAAAAAAAUUUACUUUAUUAGAUUAAUUACCUAAGGGAUAACAGCAUAAUCUUUUUUUUGGUUUGUGACCUCGAUGUUGGAUUAGGGUCUGCUUUGGUUAGCCGCCAAAGCAGAAAGUUCUGUUCGAACUAUGUCACCUACAUGAUCUGAGU